rnacentral:rRNA from 1 species
AGAGUUUGAUCCUGGCUCAGGACGAACGCUGGCGGCGUGCCUAAUACAUGCAAGUCGAGCGGACGAAUCGAAAGCUUGCUUUUGAUUCGUUAGCGGCGGACGGGUGAGUAACACGUGGGCAACCUGCCCUGUAGACGGGGAUAACUCCGGGAAACCGGUGCUAAUACCGGAUAACACGAAAUGUCGCAUGACGUUUCGUUGAAAGACGGCGCAAGCUGUCGCUACAGGAUGGGCCCGCGGCGCAUUAGCUAGUUGGUGAGGUAACGGCUCGCCAAGGCGACGAUGCGUAGCCGACCUGAGAGGGUGAUCGGCCACACUGGGACUGAGACACGGCCCAGACUCCUACGGGAGGCAGCAGUAGGGAAUCUUCCGCAAUGGACGAAAGUCUGACGGAGCAACGCCGCGUGAGCGAAGAAGGCCUUCGGGUCGUAAAGCUCUGUUGUUAGGGAAGAACAAGUAACGCAGUAACUGGCGUUACCGUGACGGUACCUAACGAGAAAGCCACGGCUAACUACGUGCCAGCAGCCGCGGU